AAGGGAGAGGAAUAAGUAGAAAUCUACCCUCGGAUCGGGGAUAGCGGCGGGAAACUGCCGGUAAUACCCGAUAACGUCUUUGGACCAAAGGUGUGAUUCCGUCUGAGGAUGAGUCUACUUCCUAUUAGCUAGUUGGCGGGGUAAUGGCCCACCAAGGCAACGAUGGGUAGCAGGUGUGAGAGCAUGACCUGCCUCAUUGGGACUGAGACACUGCCCAGACACCUACGGGUGGCUGCAGUCGAGAAUCUUCGGCAAUGGACGAAAGUCUGACCGAGCGACGCCGCGUGCGGGAUGAAGGCCUUCGGGUUGUAAACCGCUGUCGGAGGGGAACAAAUGUACGGGGGUACUCCCCUGUAUUUGAGUGAACCUAGGAGGAAGGGGAGGCUAAGCUCGUGCCAGCAGCCGCGGUAAGACGAGCUCUCCGAACGUUAUUCGGUAUCACUGGGCUUAAAGAGUUCGUAGGCGGUCUGGUAGGUGAGGUGUGAAAUCCCCCGGCUCAACCGGGGAACUGCGCUUCAAACCGCCGGACUUGAGGGAGACAGAGGUGGGCGGAACAGAUGGUGGAGCGGUGAAAUGCGUUGA
rnacentral:rRNA from 1 species